GUGAAUAACAAGACACACUCUAAAACUGAAAUGAUACAGAGAAAAUUAGUAUUGUCCCUGUGCAAGGAUGAUAGACUGAUUCAUGAAGAGUUCUAUUUUUUU